rnacentral:tRNA from 1 species
GCGGGAGUAGCUCAGUGGUAGAGCACAACCUUGCCAAGGUUGGGGUCGCGGGUUCGAGUCCCGUCUCCCGCUCCA